rnacentral:lncRNA from 1 species
GAAUGAGUAUAUAUAACAAUACAUGCAACGGCUAUAACAUAUGCUAGCUAAGAUUUCUCAGUCCCGUUAGCAGCCACCCAUGAUUUCAGCAGCUUUGAAUCACAAGAAAGAUAUUAAGCAGAUAUGUGCCAGCUAUUUGAUUUUGAAGAGCUGAAAUAAAGGAGAGAAACUCUACCCACAAUCAACUGUGUUAAACCGGAACAAAAGGAGAUAAAUAAAGAUAAUACUCAAAAGCUUCAGUAGGACUCCUUUUCAAAAUAGACUACUAACUAAUGU